rnacentral:lncRNA from 1 species
AGUGUACGCCCUUCGACAGAUCAAACGAUUAGGCUGACGAGGAAUCGAGCCAGCCGGGUUCGAAAACCUUUACUGUGGAAUCGGUUCGGUUUGAUGAGCCGAAUGUACGAACUGUACAGGAAUCAAUGUCGGCAGAAGUGCCGAAUGGAAAAAGUACAUAAUAACUGGUUGGCUGAAAGAGCCGAAUGUCUUUAUAUACUAAUAAAAAAGAGUGUGCCCGAAGGGCAUACAGACUAAGAAAUAUAGUUUACAACAUAGUGAUUCCCGUGGGGCAGACAGAUUCUGCAAAUGUAGUCUACAACGGAGUGAUGCCCGUGGGGCAAACAGACUUCAGGAUUCUACAUAGCGAACUACUCCUAGGAAAGCAGUAAAUCCGAAAAAGAAAAAGAUUACAUUUAGACUAUUCCUAGAAAAGCGAUAAAAUGCAGAGG